GUGAAGCUCAGCUGGUCCCAGCAUCAGGAAGGAAGCUCCCCACCUCCAUCCUACACUCCUAGGGCAGUGAAGCUCAGCUGGUCCCAGCAUGAGAAAGGAAGCUCCCUGCCUCCAUCCCAGACUCCUAGGGCAGUGAAGCUCAGCCGGUUCCCGCACCCACAAGGAAGCUGCCUAGCCUCCUUCCCAGGCUCCUAGGGCAGUGAAGCUCACCCAGUCCCAGCACCAGGAAGGAAGCUCCCCUACUCCCAUCCCAGGCUCCUAGAACAGUGAAGCUCAACUGGUCCCAGGACCCGUAAGGAAGCUACCCCACUGCCUUCCCAGGCUCCUAGGGCCAAGAAGGUAAGCCGGUCCCAGCACCUUGAGGGAAGCUUGCAGGCUCAAUCCCAAGCUGCCAGGGCAGUGAAGCUCAGCUGGCCCCAGAACCUGGAAGGAAGCACCCCGCCUCCAUCUCUGGCUCCUAGGGCAGUGAAGCUCAGCCUGUGCAAGCACCCGGAAGGAAGCUUCCCCGCUGCCAUCCCAAGCUCCUAGGGCCAAGAAGGUGAGCCAGUCCUAGCACCUGGAGGGAAGCUCCCCAGCCUCCAUCUCACGCUCCUAGGGCAGUGAAGCCCAGCUGGUCCCAGCACCAGGAAGGAAGCACCCCGCCUCCAUCCCAGGCUCCUAGGGCACUGAAGCCCAGCUUGUCCAAGGACCAGGAAGGAAGCUCCCCCACUACAUCCCAGACUCCUAGGGCCAAGAAGGUGAGCAGGUCCCAGCACCCAGAGGAAUGCCACCAGCCUCCAUCCCAGGCUCCUAGGGCAAUGAAGCUCAGUCAGUCCCAGCACCCCAAAGAAAGCACCCCCGCUGCCAUCCCAAGCUCCUAGGGCCAAGAAGGUGACCUGGUCCUAGCACCUGGAGGGAAGCUCCCCAGCAUCCAUCCCAGGCUCCUAGGGCAGUGAGGCUCAGCUGGACCUACCACCUGGAAGGAAGCUCCCUGGCUGCCAUCCCAGGCUCCUAGGGCCAAGAACGUGAACCGGUCCCAGUACCCAGAUGGAAGCUCCCAGCCUCCAUCCCAGGCUCCUAGGGCAGUGAAGCUCAGCUGGUCCCAGCACCCAGAAGGAAGCACCCCCGCUGCCAUCCCAAGCUCCUGGUGCCAAGAAGGAUCCCAGGACAGUGAAGCCCAGCUGGUCCCAGCAUGAGAAAGGAAGCUCCCCGCCUCCACCCCAGGCUCCUAGGGCAGUGAAACUCAGCUGGCCCCAGCACCCGGAAGGAAGAUCCCUGCCUCCAUCCCAGGCUCCUAGGGCCAAGAAGGGUCCUAGGACCAAGAAUGUGAGCUGAUCCCAGCAUGCAGAAGAAAGUUCCCUGCCUCCCCAGGCUCCUAGGGCAGUGAAGCUCAGCCUAUCUCUCACCAAGAAGGAAGCUCCCUGGCUGCCAUUCCAAGCUCCUAGGACCAAGAAGGCUCCUAGGGCACUGAAGCUCAGCUGGUCCCAGCACCCAGAAGGAAGCUCCACAACUUCAUCCCAGGCUCCUUGGGCCAAAAAGGUGAGCAGGUCCCAGCCCCCAGAGGGAAGCCCCCAGCCUCCAUCCCAGGCUCCUAGGGCAGUGAAGCUCAGCCAGUGGAAGCACCCGGAAUGAAGCUUCCCGCUGCCAUCCCAAGCUCCUAGGCCCAAGAAUGUGAGAUGGUCUCAGCACCUGGAGGGAAGCUCCCCAGCCUCCAUCCCAGGGUCCUAGGGCAGUGAAGCCCAGCUGGUCCCAGCAUCGGGAAGGAAGCUCCCCACCUCCAUCCUAGGCUCCUAGGGCAGUGAAGCACAGCUGGUUGUAGCACCUGGAAGGAAGUUCCGUGGCUGCCAUCCCUGGCUCCUAGGGUCAAGAAGGUGAGCUGGUCCCAGCACCAGAAGGGAAGCUCCUCUCCUCCAUCCCAGGAUCCUAGGACAGUGAAGCCAGGCUGGUCCCAGCAUGAGAAAGGAAGCUCCCCGCCUGCAUCCCAGACUCCUAGGGCAGUGAAGCUCAGCCGUUUCCCGCACCCAGAAGGAAGCUGCCCAGCCUCCAUGCCAGGCUGCUGGGGUAGUGAUGCUCACCCAGUCCCACCACCAGGAAGGAAGCUCCCCAACUGCCAUCCCAGGCUCCUAGGGCCAAGAAAGUGAGCCGGUCCCAGCACCCAGUAGAAAGCUCCCCACCUCUAUCCCAGGCUCCUAGGGCAGUGAAACUCAGCUGGCCCCAGCACCCGGAAGGAAGAUCCCCGCCUCCAUCCCAGGCUCCUAGAACAGUGACGCUCAACAGGUCCUAGCACCCAGAAGGAAGCUACCCCACUGCCAACCCAGGCUCCUAGGGCCAAGAAGGUGAGCAGGUCCCAGCAAGCGAGUGAAGCUCCUAGCCUCCACCCCAGGCUCCUAGGGCAGUGAAGCCC
ensembl:lncRNA